rnacentral:lncRNA from 1 species
UAAAUUCUCUAGGCAGCCAGCCACUGCAGGAAAUCAAAGGGACAAGAUAUUUCACCCAGGCUCUUUAUUAAAAGUACACAGAACGAUCAGAGGAGAAGACUGGGAGGCUGCAAAACCGCUGUAAAGGGAGAAAGACGAGUUUGCUGACAGUCCCAGCCCUCGCUCUCCCCUCUGCUGGGACCGACAUCUGAGAAGGAGACCGCAACUGCAUUCCGUUUGACAGAGCGGCCUGAUUAAAACCAGCACUCCUAUAGGUGCCAUCGUGCAGGAGACACACGGGUUUUGUCAAGAGACCAGCUACUAGCAGAAAGGCUUUGAUGCUAUUGCUACCAAAAGUCACCCAAAACAGAUACGUUGGGUUGAACGCUCCUUCCACUGCCCCCUCUGCCAGAGAGGUCUAGACAGGGGUCUAGACCUGACUGGACAUCUUUAAGGUAGGCUUGGGAUGCAGUGACUUCUUCCAGAUCUUACUUUAUUUAUUUUUGCAGCACUAGGAUUAAACCCAGGACCUGGUACCUGUCAGGCAAGUAAUCU